UACGUAGGGUGCGAGCGUUAAUCGGAAUUACUGGGCGUAAAGCGUGCGCAGGCGGUUCGUUGUGUCGGCGGUGAAAGCCCCGGGCUUAACCUGGGAAUGGCCGUUGAAACUGGCGAACUGGAGUGUGGCAGAGGGGGGUGGAAUUCCGCGUGUAGCAGUGAAAUGCGUAGAGAUGCGGAGGAACACCGAUGGCGAAGGCAGCCCCCUGGGCCAAUACUGACGCUCAUGCACGAAAGCGUGGGGAGCAAACAGG
rnacentral:rRNA from 1 species